CACGUAGGGGCCAAGCGUUGUCCGGAUUUAUUGGGCGUAAAGAGCUCGUAGGCGGUUCGACAAGUCGGGUGUGAAAACUCCGGGCUCAACCCGGAGACGCCACCCGAUACUGUCGUGACUGGAGUCCGGUAGGGGAGUGGGGAAUUCCUGGUGUAGCGGUGAAAUGCGCAGAUAUCGGGAAGAACACCCGUGGCGAAGGCGGCUCUCUGGGACGGUACUGACGCUGAGACGCGAAAGCGUGGGGAGCGAGCAGG
rnacentral:rRNA from 1 species